UCCGUAGGUGAACCUGCGGAAGGAUCAUUAAUGAAUUACAACUUGAUAGGUUGUAGCUGGUUCCUCUGGAGCAUGUGCACGCCUGUCUUGGUUCUAUUCAUCCACCUGUGCACCUUCUGUAGUCUCUGAGGUUUGAUAGUAGCUGAUUAUCGGUCGAAAAGGCCGGAUUAAGAGGAUUGCAUGUGUGCUGUGGAGCCCAUGGCUGUCCUCCGCAACUUGGCUGCGAGCCUUCCUCAGAGUCUAUGUUUUUCUUCACAAACCAUGUAUAAUGCAGAAUGUAUUUGACUAGGACUUUGUGCCUAUAAAACUCUAUACAACUUUCAGCAACGGAUCUCUUGGCUCUCGCAUCGAUGAAGAACGCAGCGAAAUGCGAUAAGUAAUGUGAAUUGCAGAAUUCAGUGAAUCAUCGAAUCUUUGAACGCACCUUGCGCUCCUUGGUAUUCCGAGGAGCAUGCCUGUUUGAGUGUCAUUAAAUUCUCAACCCUUCUAGCUUUUGCGAGCUAUGAUGGGGCUUGGAAAUUGGGAGUUUGCGGGCCUUAUAAGGGUCAGCUCUCCUGAAAUGCAUUAGCGGAACCGUUUGCAGUCCCGUCACUAGUGUGAUAAUUAUCUACGCUGUGAUGAUUGCUCUCUAGUUUGUUCAGCUGCUAAUCGUCCAUUACCGGACAAUACAUAAUGAACCUCUUGACCUCAAAUCAGGUANGAUUACCCGCUGAACUUAAGCAUAUCAAUAAGCGGAGGA
rnacentral:rRNA from 1 species